rnacentral:tRNA from 1 species
AUCGUCUCUUCUUAGAGUU